AUUGAACGCUGGCGGCAUGCUUUACACAUGCAAGUCGAACGGCAGCACGGGUGCUUGCACCUGGUGGCGAGUGGCGGACGGGUGAGUAAUACAUCGGAACGUGUCCAGAAGAGGGGGAUAACGCAUCGAAAGAUGUGCUAAUACCGCAUAUACUCUAAGGAGGAAAGCAGGGGAUCGAAAGACCUUGCGCUUUUGGAGCGGCCGAUGUCUGAUUAGCUAGUUGGUGGGGUAAGGGCCUACCAAGGCGACGAUCAGUAGUUGGUCUGAGAGGACGACCAGCCACACUGGGACUGAGACACGGCCCAGACUCCUAGGGAGGCAGCAGUGGGGAAUUUUGGACAAUGGCGGCAAGCCUGAUCCAGCAA
rnacentral:rRNA from 1 species